rnacentral:rRNA from 1 species
AGAGUUUGAUCAUGGCUCAGGAUGAACGCUAGCGGCAGGCUUAACACNUNCAAGUCGNGGGGUAACAGGAUUUAGUUUACUAGAUUGCUGACGACCGGCGCACGGGUGAGUAACGCGUAUACAAUUUACCUUAUACAGGGGAAUAGCCUUUAGAAAUGAAGAUUAAUGCCCCAUGGUAUUAUAGACAGGCAUCUGUUUAUGAUUAAAGAUUUAUCGGUAUAAGAUGAGUAUGCGUCCUAUUAGUUAGUUGGUGAGGUAACGGCUCACCAAGACUUCGAUAGGUAGGGGUCCUGAGAGGGAGAUCCCCCACACUGGUACUGAGACACGGACCAGACUCCUACGGGAGGCAGCAGUGAGGAAUAUUGGGCAAUGGAGGCAACUCUGACCCAGCCAUGCCGCGUGCAGGAAGACUGCCCUAUGGGUUGUAAACUGCUUUUAUAGAGGAAGAAACCCGUCCACGUGUGGACGGCUGACGGUACUCUACGAAUAAGGACCGGCUAACUCCGUGCCAGCAGCCGCGGUAAUACGGAGGGUCCAAGCGUUAUCCGGAAUCAUUGGGUUUAAAGGGUCCGUAGGCGGGCAAUUAAGUCAGAGGUGAAAUCCCACAGCUCAACUGUGGAACUGCCUUUGAUACUGGUUGUCUUGAGUAACAUUGAAGUAGAUAGAAUAUGUAGUGUAGCGGUGAAAUGCAUAGAUAUUACAUAGAAUACCGAUUGCGAAGGCAGUCUACUAAGUGUUUACUGACGCUGAUGGACGAAGGCGUGGGGAGCGAACAGGAUUAGAUACCCUGGUAGUCCACGCCGUAAACGAUGGUCACUAGUUGUUGGGUUUUAGGAUUCAGUGAUUAAGAGAAAUUGAUAAGUGACCCACCUGGGGAGUACGAUCGCAAGAUUGAAACUCAAAUGAAUUGACGG